rnacentral:rRNA from 1 species
AGAGUUUGAUCCUGGCUCAGGAUGAACGCUAGCGGCAGGCUUAACACAUGCAAGUCGAGGGGCAGCAUGAAAGUAGCAAUACUUUUGAUGGCGACCGGCGGACGGGUGCGUAACGCGUAUGCAACCUACCCUUUACAGGGGGAUAACACUGAGAAAUCGGUACUAAUACCCCAUAAUAUUCUGGGAGGCAUCUUUCGGAGUUGAAAGCUUUGGUGGUAAAGGAUGGGCAUGCGUUGUAUUAGCUAGUUGGUAAGGUAACGGCUUACCAAGGCGACGAUACAUAGGGGGACUGAGAGGUUAACCCCCCACAUUGGUACUGAGACACGGACCAAACUCCUACGGGAGGCAGCAGUGAGGAAUAUUGGUCAAUGGACGGAAGUCUGAACCAGCCAUGCCGCGUGCAGGAAGACGGCUCUAUGAGUUGUAAACUGCUUUUGUACGAGGGUAAACGCAGAUACGUGUAUCUGCCUGAAAGUAUCGUACGAAUAAGGAUCGGCUAACUCCGUGCCAGCAGCCGCGGUAAUACGGAGGAUCCAAGCGUUAUCCGGAUUUAUUGGGUUUAAAGGGUGCGUAGGCGGUUUAGUAAGUCAGCGGUGAAAUUUUGGUGCUUAACACCAAACGUGCCGUUGAUACUGCUGGGCUAGAGAGUAGUUGCGGUAGGCGGAAUGUAUGGCGUAGCGGUGAAAUGCUUAGAGAUCAUACAGAACACCGAUUGCGAAGGCAGCUUACCAAACUAUAUCUGACGUUGAGGCACGAAAGCGUGGGGAGCAAACAGGAUUAGAUACCCUGGUAGUCCACGCAGUAAACGAUGAUAGCUCGUUGUCGGCGAUACACAGUCGGUGACUAAGAGAAAUCGAUAAGCUAUCCACCUGGGGAGUACGUUCGCAAGAAUGAAACUCAAAGGAAUUGACGGGGGCCCGCACAAGCGGAGGAACAUGUGGUUUAACUCGAUGAUACGCGAGGAACCUUACCCGGGCUUGAAAGUUACUGACGAUUCUGGAAACAGGAUUUCCCUUCGGGGCAGGAAACUAGGUGCUGCAUGGUUGUCGUCAGCUCGUGCCGUGAGGUGUCGGGUUAAGUCCCAUAACGAGCGCAACCCCUACUGAUAGUUGCCAUCAG